rnacentral:rRNA from 1 species
AUGGCCGGCAAGGGCGAGGGUCCCGCCAUCGGGAUCGAUCUCGGCACGACCUACUCCUGCGUCGGCGUGUGGCAGCACGACCGAGUUGAAAUCAUCGCCAACGACCAGGGCAACCGCACCACCCCCUCCUACGUCGCCUUCACCGACUCCGAGAGGCUCAUCGGCGAUGCGGCCAAGAACCAGGUCGCCAUGAACCCGGUCAACACCGUUUUCGAUGCAAAGCGUCUUAUUGGCAGGAGAGUUAGCGAUCCUUCUGUCCAGAGUGACAUGAAGCUGUGGCCCUUCAAGGUCAUUGCUGGACCUGGAGACAAGCCUAUGAUUGUUGUUCAGUACAAGGGUGAGGAGAAGGAGUUUGCUGCUGAAGAAAUCUCCUCCAUGGUCCUCAUCAAGAUGCGUGAGAUAGCUGAAGCGUAUCUUGGCAGCACCAUCAAGAAUGCUGUGGUCACUGUCCCCGCCUACUUCAAUGACUCCCAGAGGCAGGCCACCAAGGAUGCUGGAGUGAUUGCAGGCCUAAAUGUUAUGCGCAUCAUCAACGAGCCAACCGCUGCUGCUAUUGCUUAUGGUCUUGACAAGAAGGCCACCAGUGUUGGUGAGAAGAAUGUUCUCAUCUUUGACCUUGGUGGUGGCACCUUUGAUGUCUCUCUUCUCACCAUUGAAGAGGGCAUCUUUGAGGUCAAGUCCACUGCUGGUGACACUCACCUUGGUGGUGAGGACUUUGACAACAGGAUGGUCAACCACUUUGUCCAAGAAUUCAAGAGGAAGAACAAGAAGGAUAUCAGCGGCAAUCCCAGGGCUCUCCGUAGGCUGAGGACAGCUUGUGAGCGGGCGAAGAGGACCCUCUCCUCCACUGCGCAGACCACCAUUGAGAUCGACUCGUUGUAUGAGGGCAUCGACUUCUACACGACCAUCACCCGUGCCAGGUUUGAGGAGUUGAACAUGGACCUCUUCAGGAAGUGCAUGGAGCCUGUUGAGAAGUGCCUGAGGGAUGCUAAGAUGGACAAGAGCACUGUCCAUGAUGUUGUCCUUGUUGGUGGCUCCACCAGGAUCCCAAGGGUGCAGCAGCUGCUUCAGGACUUCUUCAAUGGCAAGGAGCUGUGCAAGAACAUCAACCCGGAUGAGGCUGUUGCCUAUGGUGCUGCAGUCCAGGCAGCCAUCUUGAGUGGAGAGGGCAACGAGAAGGUCCAGGACCUCCUGCUGCUUGAUGUCACGCCUCUUUCUCUUGGUCUGGAGACUGCUGGAGGUGUCAUGACCGUUUUGAUUCCAAGGAACACCACCAUCCCCACCAAGAAGGAGCAGGUCUUCUCCACCUACUCUGACAACCAGCCUGGUGUCCUUAUCCAGGUUUAUGAGGGCGAGAGGACCAGGACCCGCGACAACAACCUGCUGGGCAAGUUUGAGCUCUCCGGCAUCCCUCCUGCCCCCAGGGGUGUGCCCCAGAUCACGGUCUGCUUCGACAUUGACGCAAAUGGCAUUCUGAACGUCUCUGCGGAGGACAAGACGACUGGGCAGAAGAACAAGAUCACAAUCACGAAUGACAAGGGCAGGCUGAGCAAGGAUGAGAUCGAGAAGAUGGUGCAGGAGGCAGAGAAGUACAAGUCAGAGGACGAGGAGCACAAGAAGAAGGUGGAGUCAAAGAAUGCCCUGGAGAACUAUGCCUACAACAUGCGCAACACUAUCAAGGACGACAAGAUCGCCUCCAAGCUAGCUGCGGACGACAAGAAGAAAAUCGAGGACGCCAUUGACCAGGCCAUCCAGUGGCUGGACGGCAACCAGCUUGCUGAGGCAGAUGAGUUUGACGACAAGAUGAAGGAGCUGGAGGGCCUCUGCAACCCCAUAAUCGCCAAGAUGUACCAGGGUGCCGGAGCUGACAUGGCGGGUGGCAUGGACGAGGACGAUGCGCCUCCGGCUGCCGGCGGCGCUGGCCCCAAGAUCGAGGAGACCAUGGAGGACCGCUGGAAGCGUAGUUCGUGCAGUCGACGGCUUGCGCAUGGACGAAUAGGGCAGGAUUAA